AUCCCUUCGCAGUGGCAGUAUCGUAGCCUACAGAGGUCAAUCCGAGGCGUGAUUAUUGCUAGUUGAAAACUUUAACCACCCCACCUUGACGACUGAAAUACAGUCGGCAAUGGCAAUUUUUGAUGGUCUCUAUGGAGA